rnacentral:rRNA from 1 species
CAGCCGCCGCGGUAAUACCGGCGGCCCGAGUGGCGGUCACUAUUAUUGGGCUUAAAGCGUCCGUAGCCGGGUUGGGAAGUCCUCCGGGAAAUCUGGCCGCUUAACGGUCAGAAUGCCGGAGGAUACUCCCAGCCUAGGGAGCGGGAGAGGCCGAGGGUAUUCCCGGAGUAGGGGUGAAAUCCUAUAAUCCCGGGAGGACCACCUGUGGCGAAGGCGCUCGGCUGGGACGCGUCCGACGGUGAGGGACGAAGGCCAGGGGAGCAAACCGGAUUAGAUACCCGGGUAGUCCUGGCUGUAAACGAUACGGACUUUGUGUCGGACAAGCUAUGAGCUUGUCCGGUGCCGGAGGGAAACCGUUAAGUCCGCCGCCUGGGGAGUACGGCCGCAAGGCUGAAACUUAAAGGAAUUGGCGGG